UACGGGGGGGCAAGCGUUGUUCGGAAUUACUGGGCGUAAAAGGGCUCGUAGGCGGCCAACUAAGUCGGAUGUGAAAUCCCCAGGCUCAACCUGGGAACUGCAUCCGAUACUGGAUGGCUUAAUUGGGAGAGGGAUGCAGAAUUCCAGGUGUAGCGGUGAAAAUUCGUAGAUAUUUCGGAGGAAACACCAGUGGCGAAGGCGGCUCACUGGUCCCAUUUAC
rnacentral:rRNA from 1 species